AGGGUUGCUUGCUUUCAAGAAUCAGGGGAGACAGAAACCAUUAAAUUUAACUAUGAACCACAUACGCAUAUGAUGGUAGUAACUCGGCAAACAACAUGUUAUAUUUUUGUAUUGACGUCUGCUGAGAUGGCAAUGGUUCAUUCAGACGAUAGUCUUCGUGCGUUGGAGUUACAGUUGUUGGUGAAAGUAAAUGACCCGACCACCCCUCAAACAAAGGUGCCAGAUUUUUCUCUACAUACAAAUAUUCAAAGACAGUGCGGUAAAAACAUGGCAUAUCAUUACAUAAUUCAGUGAUCUAUCACAUUAAAAGGAAAAUAAAGUAUAUUUGAAUUCA